rnacentral:tRNA from 1 species
GGCUCGGUGGUCUAGGGGUAUGAUUCCUGCUUUGGGUGCAGGAGGUCCCGGGUUCAAAUCCUGGCUUAGCCC